GGCGCGUUGCCCGAGUGGCCAAUGGGAGUGGACUGUAAAUCCAUCGGCUUUGCCUACGCAGGUUCGAAUCCUGCACGCGCCA
rnacentral:tRNA from 1 species